rnacentral:rRNA from 1 species
GACGAACGCUGGCGGCGCGCCUAACACAUGCAAGUCGAACGGAGCUGAGAGAAGCUUGCUUUUCUUAGCUUAGUGGCGAACGGGUGAGUGACGCGUGAGUAACCUGCUCUGGAGUGGGGGACAACAGUUGGAAACGACUGCUAAUACCGCAUAAGCCCACGAUCCGGCAUCGGCAUGAGGGAAAAGGAUUUAUUCGCUUCAGGAUGGACUCGCGCCCAAUUAGCUAGUUGGUGAGGGAACGGCCCACCAAGGCGACGAUUGGUAGCCGGACUGAGAGGUUGAGCGGACACAUUGGGGCUGAGACACGGCCCAGACUCCUACGGGAGGCAGCAGUGGGGGAUAUUGCACAAUGGGGGGAGCCCUGAUGCCGCGACGCCGGGUGGAGGAAGAAGGUUUUCGGAUUGUAAACUCCUGUCGUUAGGGACGAUAAUGACGGUACCUAACAAGAAAGCACCGGCUAACUACGUG